rnacentral:rRNA from 1 species
GACUCUCGGCAACGGAUAUCUCGGCUCUCGCAUCGAUGAAGAACGUAGCAAAAUGCGAUACUUGGUGUGAAUUGCAGAAUCCCGUGAACCAUCGAAUCUUUGAACGCAAGUUGCGCCCGAAGCCAUCCGGCCGAGGGCACGCCUGCCUGGGCGUCAUGCAUCG